rnacentral:rRNA from 1 species
GGGGAUUCUAUCACCCCGGAUCUACCACCGGGAUGUUCAUAACCCUUUGUUGUCCGACUCUGUUGCCUCCGGGGCGACCCUGCCUUCGGGCGGGGGCUCCGGGUGGACACUUCAAACUCUUGCGUAACUUUGCAGUCUGAGUAAACUUAAUUAAUAAAUUAAAACUUUUAACAACGGAUCUCUUGGUUCUGGCAUCGAUGAAGAACGCAGCGAAAUGCGAUAAGUAAUGUGAAUUGCAGAAUUCAGUGAAUCAUCGAAUCUUUGAACGCACAUUGCGCCCCCUGGUAUUCCGGGGGGCAUGCCUGUUCGAGCGUCAUUUCACCACUCAAGCCUCGCUUGGUAUUGGGCAACGCGGUCCGCCGCGUGCCUCAAAUCGACCGGCUGGGUCUUCUGUCCCCUAAGCGUUGUGGAAACUAUUCGCUAAAGGGUGCUCGGGAGGCUACGCCGUAAAACAAACCCAUUUCUAAGGUUGACCUCGGAUCAGGUAGGGAUACCCGCUGAACUUAAGCAUAUCAAAAGCCGGAGGAA